UACAGGGGGGGCAAGCGUUGUUCGGAAUUACUGGGCGUAAAGGGCUCGUAGGUGGCCGACUAAGUCAGACGUGAAAUCCCUCAGCUUAACUGGGGAACUGCGUCUGAUACUGGAUGGCUUGAGUUUGGGAGAGGGAUGCGGAAUUCCAGGUGUAGCGGUGAAAUGCGUAGAUAUCGGGAAGAAUAUCCGUGGCGAAGGCGGCUCUCUGGUACGGCACUGACGCUGAGACGCGAAAGCGUGGGGAGCGAACAGG
rnacentral:rRNA from 1 species